GGCUGGUGUGAAGAUAGUGAUUUAUCUUCGUUGAUUAUUCAGUCAGUUACAGAUGAAGAUCCUUUUCUGCUCUGCUCCCCCUGCUCUUUACUGCGCUUGACUAGUCCUUA
ensembl:misc_RNA Y_RNA Y RNA